CAGGUUUAGAUAUAAUCAUCUGAAUAUUAAAGUCCCAUUUUAUUCUGACUAUAAAGUUUAUUUCAGUUUUAAACCAUCAACUAAGUUGUUUACUUUGAUUCAUUAAAAGCUUGAAGUUGCUGCAGUCUGUUCCAGCUCAGUGUAACUCUGUUGUUCUUGAUCCGACCACCAGAUGGAGAUAAUGUGACAAGAAACUAAUAAAAGAAUAACUAACUAAA